UGAGGAAUAUUGGACAAUGGGCGCAAGCCUGAUCCAGCCAUGCCGCGUGAGUGAAGAAGGCCUUCGGGUUGUAAAGCUCUUUCAGAUGUGAAGAUAAUGACGGUAACAUCAGAAGAAGCCCCGGCUAAAUUCGUGCCAGCAGCCGCGGUAAUACGAAUGGGGCAAGCGUUGUUCGGAAUCACUGGGCUUAAAGCGUGCGCAGGCGGUUUUGCAAGUCAGAAGUGAAAGCCCAGGGCUCAACCCUGGAAUUGCUUUUGAAACUGCAAAACUAGAAUAUGGGAGAGGUUAGCAGAAUUCCGAGUGUAGAGGUGAAAUUCGCAGAUAUUCGGAGGAAUACCAGUGGCGAAGGCGGCUAACUGGACCAUUAUUGACGCUCAGGCACGAAAGCGUGGGGAGCAAACAG
rnacentral:rRNA from 1 species